rnacentral:rRNA from 1 species
ACCUCAAAUCAGGCAA